rnacentral:rRNA from 1 species
GAUGAACGCUAGCUACAGGCUUAACACAUGCAAGUCGCGGGGCAGCAUGGGGGUUGCUUGCAAUCCCCGAUGGCGACCGGCGCACGGGUGAGUAACGCGUAUCCAACCUGCCCUUCACCACGGGAUAACCCGGCGAAAGUCGGGCUAAUACCGUAUGUUGUCCAUUGACGGCAUCCGAUUUGGACGAAAGGUUUGGCGGUGAAGGAUGGGGAUGCGUCCGAUUAGCUGGACGGCGGGGUGACGGCCCACCGUGGCGACGAUCGGUAGGGGUUCUGAGAGGAAGGUCCCCCACACUGGAACUGAGACACGGUCCAGACUCCUACGGGAGGCAGCAGUGAGGAAUAUUGGUCAAUGGGCGUAAGCCUGAACCAGCCAAGUAGCGUGCAGGAUGACGGCCCUAUGGGUUGUAAACUGCUUUUAUGCGGGGAUAAAGUGGCCCACGUGUGGGUUUUUGCAGGUACCGCAUGAAUAAGGACCGGCUAAUUCCGUG